rnacentral:rRNA from 1 species
CACGCCCUAAACGAUGUCAACUGGUUGUUGGGAAUUCACUUUCUCAGUAACGAAGCUAACGCGUGAAGUUGACCGCCUGGGGAGUACGGCCGCAAGGUUGAAACUCAAAGGAAUUGACGG